AGAGUUUGAUCCUGGCUCAGGAUUAACGCUAGCGGCAGGCCUAAUACAUGCAAGUCGAACGGCAGCGGGUCCAGCAAUGGAUGCCGGCGAGUGGCGCACGGGUGCGUAACGCGUAUGCAAUCUACCUUUAACUGGGGGAUAGCCCCGAGAAAUCGGGAUUAAUACCCCAUAAUAUUGAGGAGGGACAUCCCUUUUCAAUUAAAGCUCCGGCGGUUUUAGAUGAGCAUGCGUGACAUUAGCUAGUUGGUGAGGUAACGGCCCACCAAGGCGACGAUGUCUAGGGGUUCUGAGAGGAUUUUCCCCCACACUGGUACUGAGACACGGACCAGACUCCUACGGGAGGCAGCAGUAAGGAAUAUUGGGCAAUGGGCGCAAGCCUGACCCAGCCAUGCCGCGUGAAGGAUGACGGCCCUAUGGGUUGUAAACUUCUUUUGUACGGGAAAAAACCCCCGGUCGUGAACCGGGGCUGAUGGUACCGUAAGAAUAAGCAUCGGCUAACUCCGUGCCAGCAGCCGCGGUAAUACGGAGGAUGCAAGCGUUAUCCGGAUUCAUUGGGUUUAAAGGGUGCGCAGGCGGAAUGAUAAGUCAGUGGUGAAAUCCUACGGCUCAACUGUAGAACUGCCAUUGAUACUGUCAUUCUUGAGUACACUUGAAGUGGGCGGAAUGUGUCAUGUAGCGGUGAAAUGCUUAGAUAUGACACAGAACACCGAUCGCGAAGGCAGCUCACUAAAUUGUAACUGACGCUCAUGCACGAAAGCGUGGGGAUCAAACAGGAUUAGAUACCCUGGUAGUCCACGCCGUAAACGAUGAUCACUCGAUGUUGGCGAUACACUGUCAGCGUCUAAGCGAAAGCAUUAAGUGAUCCACCUGGGGAGUACGGCCGCAAGGUUGAAACUCAAAGAAUUGACGAUCUC
rnacentral:rRNA from 1 species